rnacentral:rRNA from 1 species
AACGAACGCUGGCGGCAUGCCUAACACAUGCAAGUCGAACGGGAUCCGGACUUCGGUUCGGUGAGAGUGGCGGACGGGUGAGUAACGCGUGGGAACCUGCCCAGUGGUGGGGGAUAACUGCGGGAAACUGCAGCUAAUACCGCAUGAGCCCGAGAGGGGAAGAUUUAUCGCCAUUGGAGGGGCCCGCGUUCGAUUAGGUAGUUGGUGAGGUAAUGGCUCACCAAGCCGACGAUCGANAGCUGGUCUGAGAGGAUGAUCAGCCACACUGGGACUGAGAUACGGCCCAGACUCCUACGGGAGGCAGCAGUGGGGAAUAUUGGACAAGUGGGGGCAACCUGAUCCAGCAAUGCCGCGUGAGUGAUGAA